rnacentral:rRNA from 1 species
UUUCGCAAUGCCCGAAAGGGUGACGAAGCGACGCCGCGUGAGCGAAGAAGGCCCCAGGGUUGUAAAGCUCUGUCGAGGGUUAGGAAAUAUAGAUGGGUUAAUACCCCAUUUAUUUGACAAAAGCCCCAAAGGAAGUCACGGCUAACUCUGUGCCAGCAGCCGCGGUAAUACAGAGGUGGCAAGCGUUGUUCGGAAUUAUUGGGCGUAAAGAGCACGUAGGUGGAUUUGUAAGUCAGAUGUGAAAGCCUUCUGUUCAACGGAAGAAUUGCAUCUGAAACUGCGAAUCUUGAGUAUAGGAGGGGAGAAUGGAACUUCUGGUGGAGCGGUGAAAUGCGUAGAUAUCAAAAGGAACGCCGGCGGCGAAAGCGAUUCUCUGGCCUAUUACUGACACUGAGUGUGCGAAAGCUAGGGGAGCAAACGGGAUUAGAUACCCCGGUAGUCCUAGCCGUAAACGAUGGGCACUAAGUAGAGGGGUUUUA